CAUCCAAUGCAGGAGCACCCAGAUUCAUAAGUAAAGUUCUUAGAGACCUACAAAGUAUGUUUCACAGUAAUAGUGGGAGAUUUCCACACUCCAAUGACAGUAUUAGACAGAUGAUUGAGGCAAAAAAAUGAACAAAGAUAUUCAGGACCUGAACUCAACAUUGGAUCAAAUGGAUCUGAUAGACCUUUACAGAACUCUGCACUCAAAAACAACAGAAUAUGCAUUCCUCACAUCAUCAUAUGCCACAUACUCUAAAAUCAACCACAUAAUUGGACAUAAAGCAAUCCUCAGCAAAUGCAAAACAACUGAAAUCAUACCAAAUACAUACUGAGAUCACAGUGCAGUAAAAAUAGAAGACUAAGAAAAUUGCUGAAAAUCAUGCAAUUACAUGGAAAUCAAUCAACAUGCUCCUGAAUGACUUUUUAAUAAAUAAUGAAAUUAAGGCAGAAAUCAAGAAGCUCUUUGAAAAUAAUGAGAACAAAGUUACAACAUACUAGAGCCUCUGGACACAGCUAAGACAAUGUUAGGAGGGAAAUUUAUAGCACUAAAUCCCACAUCAAAAAGUUAGGAAGAACUCAAAUUAAUAACCUAACAUCACAACUGAAAGAACUAGAGAAGCAAGACAAAACCCCAAAGCUAGAGGAAGACAAGAAAUAACUGAAAAUCUGAGCUGAACUGAAAGAAACCGAGACAUGAAAAAAAGAAAUUCAAAAGAUCUAUGAAUUCCGGGUAGGUUUCUUGAAAAUAUUAAUAAGAAAGUCUGCUAGCAGACUAAUACAGAGGAUGAUUGAAAGAAACACAAUUAGAAAUGACAAAGGGAAUGUUACCACUGACCCCACAGAAAUAGAAACAGCCAUCAGAAACUACUGCAAACACUUCUAUGCAUACAAACUAGAAAACUUCAAAGAGAUGGAUAAAUUCAUGGAGAAAUACACCCUCCCACAACUGAGCCAGGAAGAAAUUGAUUUGCUGUAAACAGACCAAUAACAAGCUCCGAAAUUGAAUCAGUAAUAAAUAACCUACCAACCAAAAAAAGCCCAGAACAUGAUGGAUUCCCAGUCAUAUUCUACUAGAAAUACAAAGAAGAGCUGGUACCAUUUUUACAGGAACUAUUUGAAAAUAUUGAGGAGGAGGAACUCCUCCCCAACUCAUUCUAUGAGGCCAACAUCAUCUUGAUACCAAAAUCUGGCAGACACACACACACACACACACACACACACACACACACACACACACACACACACUCUUCAGGCCAAUACCCUCGAUGAACAUCAAUGCAAAAAUCCUCAACAAAAUACUGGCAAACCAAAUCCAGCAGCACAUCAAAAAGUUAAUCCAUCAUGAUCAAGUAUGCUUCAUCCCCAGGAUGCAAGGUUGCCUCAACAUACACAUAUCAAUUAAUCUGAUUCAUCACAUAAACAAAACUAAAGAUAAAAACCAUGUGGUUAUCUCAAUAUAAGCAGAAAAGGCUUUCAAUAAAAUUCAAUGCCUCUCCAUAUUAAAAACUCUAAAAAAUCUGGGUAUUGAAGAAACAUAGCUCAAAAUGAUGAGCUGUUUUUGUAUCAGUAUCAUGCUGUUUUGGUUACUGUAGCCCUGUAGUAUGGUUUGAAGUUGGGUAACAUGAUGCCUCCAGCUUCGUUCUUUUUGCUGAGGAUUGCUUGGCUAUUAGGGCUCUUUUUUUUGGUUCCAUAUGAAUUUUGAAAUAGUUUGCUCUAGUUCUGUGAGGAAUGCCGUUGGUAAUUUAAUAGGGAUAACUUGCAUCUGUAAAUUACUUUGGGCAGUAUAGCCAUUUUAAUGACAUUAAUUCUUCCUAUCCAUGAGCAUGACAUGUUUUUCCAUUUGUUUGUGUCUUCUCUGAUUUCUUUGAGCAGUGUUUUGUAAUUCUUCUAGAGAUCUCCUAGAGAUCUUUCACCUCCCUGGUUAGCUGUAUUCCUAGGUAUCUUAUUUUUUCUGUGUGUAGCAAUUAUGAAUGGGAUUGUGUUCUUCAUUUGACUCUCUGCUUGACUUGAUGUAUAGGACUGCUAGUAAUUUUUGCACAUUGAUUUUGUAUGCUAAGACUUUGCUAAAGUUUAUCAGCAGAAGAAGCUUUGGGGCCAAGACUAUGGGGCUUUCUAGAUAUAGAAACAUGUCAUCUGUAAACAGAGACAGUUUGACUUCCUGUCUAUUCCUCUCUUCCCUCCUCUGUUUGGAUGCCCUUCCAGUUUUGCACAUUCAGUGUAAUGUUGGCUGUGGGUUUGUCAUGGCUAGCUCUCAUCAUUUUGGCACUUCUGACUAGAAGGGCAAGAGGGGCCAGUGUUGUUGUUACCUGAAAGGUAAGUGCAGCCCACAAAAAUGCAGUGAAGAAGAAGAUGUAUUAUGCAUAUGUUUAAGUUAAUACAAUUGAGAUAUAUUUAGCAGACAGAAUCAAUAGAGUUGAUGAGUGACUGACUGGAUGUGUGGGGAGUUUAUAUCACUCCCAGGUUUUUGACUUGGGCAACCGGGCACUCAUGAAGGAAAAAGGGGAUCCAGGGAGAGGAACUUUUCUGAGGACUGGGGUAGGGCUGAACAGCUGCAUUCGAGGCUGGUGGAGGGUGGGCUGGGCAUGGGAUGCACAAAUGGAAAUUCCACUGGGUCUGCAGCUCACACAUAGGCAUGACCAGCAUAGAGAUAGAGAGGCCCCAGUGCUGCUGAGUAACUGUGAUUCCCCAGGUGAUGGCAUCAGCUGAGAAGGGAAGGAAGCCCAUGAGAGGACACUGAAGAAGGAGUGAGCAGACAAUAAGAAGCCCACAGAAGACAGAGAAGGAACAACUAGAGGGAGAAGCCAAGGCAGGCGUGUGUGGUAACACAUAGGAACUGAGGGAGAGGACAUUUCAAGAUGGUGGGGAUGCCAUACAACAGGACUAUGUGAUGGUUUUUGGCUGUGUCCAUAGGAAGUCACAACAGGCAAGGGAAAGAAACCAGAACCCAGUCAUGGAGUUAAGAAGUGAGUCAGAGAGUAGAUGGGUAGGGACAGUGAGGUAAGGCCUCUUUCUAAGGAAGUUUGGCUGAAGGAUAGACUAGCUGGACACAUGCUGGCUGUGUGGGGUAGAGGGAGGAAUGAUGGAGGGUAGGAGAGCCUUGAGCCUGCGAGAAGAGUCUCUUAGAAUAGAGAAGCUGAAGUUAAAGUUGUGGAAGAGAGUGGGGAUAACUGAGUGACAGAUAAUCAGGAGAAGAAAAGGAGAUCCAGACUCAUGACAGAGAGAUGACCUUUGCCAAGAGCACAGCCGUCUUUCACGGUCACAGAGAGGUAGGACAAAAUGAGUGGUGUUCAAGAAUUGGUUUGUAGCACAAUAUUUCAACUAUGUCCUUUAAAAAGUUUCUCCACAGACACUACCCAAAGCAGUGCUUCACUACAGUGGCAGACAGACCUGAAAAUUUUCAUCUGAAGCAGCAGAGUGAACUGCAGAGGCAGGUCACCAACCAGUGUGGAGGCUAAAAGCGGGCCUCUUUGGGGAUUCCAGGUGGAAGUGUUGGACAUCUGUAGUAUUCCUGGUCUCGAAUCAUCCUGAUAUUCUUCAUUUUGUUAUUCACAUUGGACUAGGAGAUAGAAUCUCACUAUGUUGACCAGGCUGGUCUUGAACUCUUGGCACCCAAGCGAUCCUUUUGCCUGGAAUCCCAAAGUGUCAGAUUUACUGAAGAAUAUUUCAUUGUAAUUACUUUUUAUACUUUAUAGGUCAAGAGCUCUGUUUUAAAUACAAAAUUUAUUGAAUAUACUUUUUCAAACAAAGUUUCAUGUUCUAAUCAUUGUCUGAUUUCAGCAUUAAAUGAAACACAGUAAAGAAAGUUGGGCUGAUGUUGUUGUUGGUGGUUGUUUUUGUAUUCUGAUUACAGAACUGUAUUUUGAGUGGGCUG
ensembl:lncRNA novel transcript